GGGAAAUCCAAAACUUUCCCACAACUUCCAACGAACCAAAUGUGCUAGCUGGGUAGAAGCCUAGAAAGCAAAUAAACAUUAUCUGGGAAGUGGAGAGGCAGCAGAGAAACGAAACUUAGACAGACUUUGCUGGAAACAAAACUGAAGGUUAAGAAGAAACGUGUGGCAAAGAGCGACUGUGCUCAGCCCGAUCACGCCCACACACACAAUGCAGGCUGAGGGUGUUAGCUGCUUUCCUUUGGCUGUCAGAAUUGCAAUGACAGAGCGGGGGGGGGUUCAAGGUAUAAAAGGAGGUUACAAUGUUUGAUCUGUCCUUUCUAUCCUGCGGAGCCCUCCGCUUAAGGAUUUGGAGUCAAAUGUCUAUAGUACAAGAUAACUUUGACAAGACUAUAAUACAUGGACUGGUGACCCUCUGUCCGGUCACUAUUGAGUUCCCACUCUGUUUGCUUGCUGUGUAUUUACUUUGAAGAGGAGGAGAGGAGGAGGAGGAAAGGAGAUGAAAAGCCUGCUCCCAAGGGCAGGUCACUGGGUCCCUGGCCAUGUCCUAGUGGGGGGUGUUGGGAGUCUGUCCCCUAGCAGGUACUGACCCUCAGCAUGACCUCGCAGGACCUGGUCAGUCGGGCCUGGUGAGCAGAGCCAGGAGCUGCAGAUUAACUGAUCCGCAGCGACCUUGACGCACCGACGAACCCAAGCACCAGACACCCGAAGACACCUGAGACGACUAGAUGAAGCUCAUCCGAAGCACAAAGCUUAUAUUACUUACCUGAAUACUUAAACGAAAUGUACCCUAGAAUGCCGCCAGAUGAAGAACCAUUCUUUUCUUUUUUUGGUUGGCUUCUGGUUGUCUGCGUUGCUUGGUUUCGGCGGCUCAUGGGGGGCCUGCUGAAGAAAACGCAUUCCCAAAUACACUGCAAUGCUGAAUGCAUAAUUUCCAUGAAAAUGUAAAAAUGUUAAAUAAAAAUUGAAAAAAACAUUGCAACAUGAACAAACUUACCUGUGCCAUUUGUUCUGUAGUUGUCAUUUUGGAUAUUUAUACACUCUGAUAUUGAUGCCACAUUGCAGAGAACAGCUGCAAAGUUAUAACAUCGCAAAUAAUACUUAGUUAGU
rnacentral:lncRNA from 1 species